rnacentral:rRNA from 1 species
UGGGACAAGCCCUGGAAACGGGGUCUAAUACCGGAUACCACUUUGUCCCGCAUGGGACGGGGUUGAAAGCUCCGGCGGUGAAGGAUGAGCCCGCGGCCUAUCAGCUUGUUGGUGGGGUAAUGGCCUACCAAGGCGACGACGGGUAGCCGGCCUGAGAGGGCGACCGGCCACACUGGGACUGAGACACGGCCCAGACUCCUACGGGAGGCAGCAGUGGGGAAUAUUGCACAAUGGGCGAAAGCCUGAUGCAGCGACACCGCGUGAGGGAUGACGGCCUUCGGGUUGUAAACCUCUUCAGCAGGGAAGAAGCGCAAGUGA